CCAAGGAGUUUAGCGUGUGCGCGAGUCAUUGAGUGGCAAAACUCAAAGGCGAAAUGAAAGUGAAGGAAACUUUACGUUUCUGAGGGAAGAUGAGGUGGUUUCUUUCUAGAGCCUCUCCGCACUCCCGGGGCGUCUCUAUCUCAUUGCGAGAGGAGGCGCACCUAUAGCGUACACGCUGAUACCCGAAAGAUGGUGAACUAUGCCUGGCCAGGACGAAGCCAGGGGAAACCCUGGUGGAGGUCCGCAGCGAUUCUGACGUGCAAAUCGAUCGUCGGAGCUGGGUUUAGGGGCGAAAGACCAAUCGAACCAUCUAGUAGCUGGUUCCCUCUGAAGUUUCCCUCAGGAUAGCUUGCGCUCGGACGGAACGAGUCUCAUCCGGUAGAGCGAAUGAUUAGAGGCCUUGGGGUCGAAACGACCUCAACCUAUUCUCAAACUCCAAAUAGAUGAGAACCCUGGCUUUCUUAAACUAUGAAGCCAAGGGGUUUCGGAUCAGAGUGCCAAGUGGGCCAAUUUU
rnacentral:rRNA from 1 species